rnacentral:rRNA from 1 species
GACGAACGCUGGCGGCGUGCUUAACACAUGCAAGUCGAACGGUAAGGCUCCAGCUUGCUGGGGUACACGAGUGGCGAACGGGUGAGUAACACGUGGGUGACCUGCCCUGCACUUCGGGAUAAGCCUGGGAAACUGGGUCUAAUACCGGAUAGGACCGCACCGUGAGGGUGUGGUGGAAAGUUUUUUCGGUGUGGGAUGGGCCCGCGGCCUAUCAGCUUGUUGGUGGGGUAAUGGCCUACCAAGGCGGCGACGGGUAGCCGGCCUGAGAGGGUGGACGGCCACAUUGGGACUGAGACACGGCCCAGACUCCUACGGGAGGCAGCAGUGGGGAAUAUUGCACAAUGGGCGGAAGCCUGAUGCAGCGACGCCGCGUGGGGGAUGACGGCCUUCGGGUUGUAAACUCCUUUCACCAUCGACGAAGGGUUUCUGACGGUAGAUGGAGAAGAAGCACCGGCUAACUACGUGCCAGCAGCCGCGGUAAUACGUAGGGUGCGAGCGUUGUCCGGAAUUACUGGGCGUAAAGAGCUCGUAGGUGGUUUGUCGCGUCGUCUGUGAAAUUCCGGGGCUUAACUCCGGGCGUGCAGGCGAUACGGGCAUAACUUGAGUACUGUAGGGGAGACUGGAAUUCCUGGUGUAGCGGUGAAAUGCGCAGAUAUCAGGAGGAACACCGGUGGCGAAGGCGGGUCUCUGGGCAGUAACUGACGCUGAGGAGCGAAAGCAUGGGGAGCGAACAGGAUUAGAUACCCUGGUAGUCCAUGCCGUAAACGGUGGGCGCUAGGUGUGGGUUUCCUUCCACGGGAUCCGUGCCGUAGCUAACGCAUUAAGCGCCCCGCCUGGGGAGUACUGCCGCAAGGCUAAAACUCAAAGGAAUUGACGGGGGCCCGCACAAGCGGCGGAGCAUGUGGAUUAAUUCGAUGCAACGCGAAGAACCUUACCUGGGCUUGACAUAUACAGGAUCGCGCCAGAGAUGGUGUUUCCCUUGUGGCUUGUAUACAGGUGGUGCAUGGUUGUCGUCAGCUCGUGUCGUGAGAUGUUGGGUUAAGUCCCGCAACGAGCGCAACCCUUGUCUUAUGUUGCCAGCACGUUGUGGUGGGGACUCGUAAGAAACUGCCGGGGUUAACUCGGAGGAAGGUGGGGAUGACGUCAAAUCAUCAUGCCCCUUAUGUCCAGGGCUUCACACAUGCUACAAUGGUCGGUACAGUGGGUUGCCAGUCCGUGAGGGCGAGCUAAUCCCGCAAAGCCGGUCUCAGUUCGGAUCGGGGUCUGCAACUCGACCCCGUGAAGUCGGAGUCGCUAGUAAUCGCAGAUCAGCAACGCUGCGGUGAAUACGUUCCCGGGCCU